CGGCGGACGCCCGGAGUCCCGCCUGCCUGCGGGCAGCGAGGCUGUGCGCCGGGGAGGCCGCCGAGGGAGCGCUCCACCCGCCGCGCCGCUCCGCCGCCUCCCGUCACCGCCGGGAGGAGGAAGGGCGUGUGUGGGGUAGGGGUACGGCAUUACAGAACCCUGUGCAGCCAAGUGGUCAGUGAUGUCCAAAGGCUGAAUUUGCCAGUCCAUUUCAGCUGCUUUGUGGUGGUUGGGGAGCAAGCAUGAAUGGAGAUUGCCUUGAUAUAUUGUUAGAGCACUUCCCCUCAGCAUAGAGGGGACUUAAGGGCAAAGCAGCCCAGCCUUCGUUUAAAGGUGGAGCGACCAAGCACCCUGGACACCAAGCAGCAUUCCAUACAGUAUGUUUCAUGUAUCUGAGAGGAAGGAGGGGAAACAUGACACAAAAUAUUUCCAAAAAGAUCUUCGUUCUUACAAAAUAAAAAAAUUACUUCAGCAAAAGCAAGACAUCCUUCUUAUUAGUCCAUCCAGUAGGUCAUUAUUAGCUCCUGUUUGGAGGAGACAAAACACAACAGCUUCUGCUGCUGGAAGACAAAGCGCUAAGAUGAACAACAACAGCUGCUUCUCCCUGUUUGCAUGUAUUACCAGGUCUCAAUUUUCUCUUCAGCAUCCUGUCCAGCUUGUUUUUCCUUUAAUUAUCAUAAACCAAGCUUGUAGUCAAAUCUCUCUUUUAAUCUGAGCAAAACUCACCUUAUUGGGAACCCUUUUGAUUCAGUGGAGACCACAAGGAAUAAGAUCACAGAAGAAAGCUGAUAUAAUAAGAUUUUCCAUUAGCUUUUUUUAACACAACAAACAAAAAGGCUGAAUUUGCCAAUCCAGGUGCCAUUAUGUGACAAUGGAAGAAAAACAGGUUUGGGGAUGUCAUUGGGUUCCACCUGAUCCGCGUUUUAAAUACCAAAGACCAGCAGCCCUUCCUGUGUAGCUGGGGGCUUCCCCCUUUCAAGAAGGAUUGCAAGGUCAUAGUUACAGCCUUUGUACUGUGUGCUCAUUUCCCUGGCUGUUACAUCUGGGACCAUUAUGUCUCCUUCUGUUAGGAAGAAGAGGUAGCAAAACCCUUCAGCAGCUGGAGUCCAGCCCAAGGUCAACGCGUUAAGCACCAGAUAGCUUUCUAAGGAAUAGGAGACAAAAGGUAACUUUUUGUCUUAAUAUUCCAACGUGGCAAUUUUUCAUCUCCCAUUGUUUCUUCGACAGCUUCUCUGCCAUUCUCACUGAAACAAUUUCCAAGCUAUUCCACAUUUAUUUUGUAUAGUAGUGCUUUUUGUCUCACUGCUAGGUCAUCGGGCAAAACACUGAGUCCCUGCAUUAAGCCAUUUUAAGUUGUUGCAGGUCUAGUCAGGGAGUUGUAAGAUCUAAUGUUUAAGUCCACGUAUGAGUCCCAGUGAAAAGCUAGAAUGCUUUUUUGAAUAACGGCAUGCUAAGGUUUCAUGACUUGCAAAGGUCUUGUGGGAUUCACAGAAUAUAAAAUACUGCAGUAACUCACACUGAGAUCAACAGACCAAAGUUCCCCACAAAAUUUUCCAGUCUUCAGGAUUUUGUUUAGCGCUUCAUUGUUUAGCACUUUUUCAGUUAAUGAAUAUUUUUCUUUUCUCUUGAAAUCCUUACAGAAAAUAAGAGCUAUUUUAAAAGAAGAAAGUUUUAACAACAUAAAAUUCAUUAUUUUUUAUUGCAGACCUCAACAACAAAAAUCUCUGAAAAUUGCUACAGACUAUGUAUUAGUAUUCAUAGAGAGUAUUCAUUUUUUCCCAGCAAAACUACCAUUUGAUCUACAGGAGAUACUCCUUUCAAGUCAGCAGCAGUUUGUGUCAACAAGAAUGUUCAUUUUCAGUACUGAUUCAGCCCUAUGGAUGUUGAAGCAUAAAAGUCAGAUGAGCACAUGCACGGCAUAAUUACGAUGCCAAUUUUGAAAAACGAAGUUUUUUUGUCAUGCAGUUAAUAACUACCUUUGUUUUCUUCUUUCAUAUUAAUUCUUUACAUUCCUGAAUAAACAUAGAUAAUGUAAAUAUACAUGGCAAAAUAGCAUCUUAAAAUAGGGGUGUGAAGGGCCAAGCAAUUAGUCAUAGUUGCUAAAAAAAGGUAACACAGGCAGAAUUCAGCAGAUUAAACCCCCUCUCUGGAGCAAAUCAGACUUUUAUCAAUUUCAGUAGGGCAGGGAACAUCAGUUGGAGAUUUCUUCAAAAAGGUGUUUAGUGGUGACCUACUUUACCCCAUCCCUUUGGAAGUAGUUGCUUUUCCUUGUUAUACCUGUUUUUUGACCCCUCAGGCUGUCUUCAGCCUGCACGCUAAGUCUGUAGGAGUUAACACUGUGACCAAAAAUGACCAAGCUCGUACAGCAGUUUUCAGCAAUACUUAAUUUGGUCUGUUGUGUUUACUACAGGAGACAUCAAAGGACUGUCUGAAGCUCUUUCAAGAUAUGUCUAUUUUUAUUACUUUGACAUAAUUGAUUACUAGUCCGAUUUGGACCAUCCUAAUUCGAUUGCUCCUCCAGUGCUUGUUCCGGGAUGCAAAUGUACUAAGUAAACCACAGCCUUUGAGGUGUGUUUAACAGAUGAUUUGACCAGUGUACCUAAUACACUAUAAAAGUUGCUAAUCUAGAUAAAAUGUUAUGGAUUAAAAUUAAUUAUUCAAACAGGCUAGCUAACAUAUUUCACAGCAUCCCUAGUCAGACUUCUCAACAUGCUGCAUUGAUUGAUUUGAAGUGUAUGCUUCCAUUCUCCUGGCUUGCUACAUGCUGAGUAUCAUUUUCAUUGUUUGAUUAGAGUUACAGGAAAUUAGUUAGCCUGAGCUAAUCCGGACACUGAUAUCGUACUUUAUACUGACGUAUAACCGCCUCUUAUCUUAGGUUUCCCCACAGAGACCAGCUGGUGUUUCUGCAAGAUCUGGAGCAGGGACCCUCUCUGAGUUAGGAGCCAUAGUACCACUGACUUCCUAAAUGACCUGCAGCAAACUAACUUUCUUGGCCAUUCCCCCUUCUUCUGAGGCAGUCCUGCUGGUGAAUCAUUCAUAUAUUUGUAGCUAAAUAAAUAUUACACUUCA